rnacentral:lncRNA from 1 species
UUUGCCUUUGUUUAUUCAUAGGUAAAUCAAUAAAAUAAUUAAAAGCACAAAAGUCCAUUUAACAUCACAAACCAAUUGCCCAGGUGCAUUCAUUAGCUUAGAAUUGCAAAGUUAUCAUAUUUCAUAAUGAUGAUCUAUUCUUGGAGCUAAGGUCUUUAGGCGCUCUAAAAUUCAAUAAAAUUUUUCGAGUGUCCCAGAUUGAUGUCCAAGAGAAACUUUCCACAUGAAUUAUUGUUAACAGGCAAGGGAGGAGUGGAAAGAAUUUUAUUUAAAGGUAAGCUCAUUUUUAUAUUAUUUUAUAAUUAAGCAUGUACAUUCCCAUAUGCUAGGUGAAAGUACAUUAUAUUUUCUUCACCAUGUCAAUUCAUAAAUGGCAUGCUAUUAAAAGAUGAAAGUGGUAAGAAAAUGAAAAGGCUAGCAUAGUGACAUAUGUAGAGGCAAACUGCUUGGAGAAUAUAAAUUUACAAUAGAAUAAAAAUGUAAAUACCUUUGUCCAUUACCUUAGUUAUGAGCCGACAGGAAUAGUAGCAUUUUGCUGGUUAACAAUUUCGAUUUUGUGUGCAUGAGAUGCAUAGAAUUUAAUGAGCUUACAAAGAAAAUAGUGGAGUCCAAACUCUUAGAGAUUCAACUGCUCAAAACUUCCUCGUCAAAUUUUAGUGGUGCCACAGCAACACCAUUGGAGUCCAGAUGAGACAUGUCGCUUGAGCCUAAUAGCUUCGCUAGUCACUGCAAAGCUUGUCAACAUCAUCUGCCCACUAAUCGGCAAGGCACAGGCAUCCCUUUACAAUUCACUUAAAAGGUAGCAGCUAGGGUGCUGAAUUUCGAGCUGGGAAUACCAUCGAGCAUCUAGAGUGCAUUUUUCAAUUCGAUGGAUGAAUACUCUUUGCUUUCUUUUUUUUUUCCCAUACUAUAUUUUCCCUUCAUCAACUUGCCAAUCCAAAUUCCAAAAGUUAAUUUCUAACCUAACUGAUCGGUCUUCCUCCUUUAAUAAUAUCUCUGAAGGCAGAUUUUCCACUCAAAUCAAUAAAUCGUUUUUUUUUCUGCAACUGACCGAAGAUUGCUGAAGGUUUUCACUCAGGUUACAUAGGUUUGUACUUACCAUUGGAGGCUAUCAAAGGCCUUCCAAAGUCCAGAAAUUGCUUCUGUUUGUGGCUGAGGUUUGCACUUACCAGAUUAGAAGAGCUUCGCUGGGGCUUUAAUUACCUCGGCGACCAAAAUAGUUGGCUGCAUAAUCGGUGCUCCUCCAAGUGCAUUUUCAUCAUUAUAAUUCUAGAGAUACAAUUCUUCCUUUUGCUCCGCAACUAUAUUUCCAUCCAUAUUUCUCAUCCUUAAUUUUACAGAUACAAGGAUCUAAAGCUUCAACAAUAACUGUAUCUAUCUUUUCCUUCACGGUCAUGACUUCCAGAGGAUCCAAAGACUUGAGACUCUCUUGCUAAUGAGAGUCAAGUUUAUUCUGAACCUUUCAAAGCUUGUUUGCCCAAUGAAAUUAAAUGCGGAAACUUCGUUGGAAAUCUGACAUCGUCGAAGAAGCGAAUCUCCACUGUGACUUGAUGGUGGUCGCUAGAGGUUGUGGCGAUCCUACAUCGCAGAAGUGGCAGGAAAUCUAGCCAUUACUUCAUGAGGGUGAUUCCCUCCCCAAUAUCUCACUGGUUUCGUUGGAGGCUACAAGUUCUCAACAGCGUUGUCGGGCCAAUUACGACGUCGACGACAAGGGUAUUGGUUGCAGAGAUCCAAAAUAGUCAGAAGUCGUACUACCUUGGCAGCAACGGGUUAUCACAGUCGCAAUAUCUCUCUUACUAAUCCUUUCAAACAUUUGAACAUUUAUGCCUCUUGAGUUGGGAACGUGCAACUUGCAAUAUAUAUUAAAAUCCAAGAAUUAAUUCCUUUUGCCUUAGGGCAAUAUUUCACUUUUUUUUUUCAUCUAAUUACAGAUUUGUCCUUUUCAAAUCAUGAUCCAUCACAAACCGGU